rnacentral:rRNA from 1 species
CCUACGGGCGGCAGCAGUGGGGAAUAUUGGUCAAUGGGCGCAAGCCUGACCCAGCAACGCCGCGUGAAGGAAGAAGGCUUUCGGGUUGUAAACUUCUUUUAAGAGGGAAGAGUAGAAGACGGUACCUCUUGAAUAAGCGACGGCUAACUACGUGCCAGCAGCCGCGGUAAUACGGAGGUGGCAAGCGUUGUCCGGCUUUACUGGGUGUAAAGGGCGUGUAGCCGGGCCGGCAAGUCAGAUGUGAAAUCCCAAGGCUAAACCUUGGAACUGCAUUUGAAACUGUUGGUCUUGAGUAUCGGAGAGGCAGGCGGAAUUCCGAGUGUAGCGGUGAAAUGCGUAGAUAUUAGGAGGAAAACCAGUGGCGAAGGGGGCCUGAUGGACGACAACCGACGGUGAGGCGCGAAAGCGUGGGGAGCAAACAGGAGUAGAUACCCCAGUAGUC